ACCAGUUCCUUCGUCACGAACAGGUCGCUUUGUAUUACAUUCUUCCUUCAUCACGAACCAGCCACCGCCAGCUCCACCAACUCUGCCACCUUCAAUACAACCGCCGCCGGCACCUAUUUUUGGUAGUUUGAUUAAUCACUCAUUCACUUCCGCCAUCACCUCCAAAAUCAACACCUCCUCCAUCACCUCCGAACCACCUUCGCCAACACCGCCACCAGGAAUACCUCCAUAACCACGACCAGCUCCGCCAUCAACUCCAAAAUUAACACCUCCUCCAUCACCUCGAAACCACCUUUCCAACACCACCACCAGGAAUACCACUAGCAGCUCCGCUACCACCACUAACGGUAGCAACACGUACCAGUACCAUCACCACCUCCGCAGCCAGUAGUAGCUCCGCCAGCACCAUCAUCAAAUAUUAUAAUUCAUCUCUACCCUAAUCAUUACUCAUCACUUGACCAACACCAGCAGCACCGCCACCAUAACCAGGGUACAAAAUUGCAGUUUGGAUUGGCUGUUGAAAGCAUUAAAGCUAUUUUGUCAGUGAAGAGGAGGCUGGCAUGUGAACAGCUAGCUUAUUAUGCUCAGGCUCACUUCUGUCUGUCCGCAAGUAAACUAUAAUAACCUAAGCAUGUGGUUGUGUCAUCUCGUGCUGCUGCUAUUUGGAACCGUAACUGGCCAAUUGAUCAACCCAUUGAUGAGUCUUGUUGGUAUGACAAGGAACACUUGAAUACCAAUUAAGUCUGCAGGGAAGCAGGCAUGAAGUAUGUAAGGUACCCUUGCUGAUAGCCUGGGAACGAAAUCAUAGUUCUAAAUCAUAUAAUUUGUCGGUAUUUGCAAACACCCUAAUUAUGUCACUCUUCUUGAGCUUGCUUCUUACUAAGUUUCAACCUUGAACUUGUCCUAUUUUCGGCAUGUACAAUUUCCAGUUCCUAUAUUUAUUUAUUUUGUACUCCAUGGAAGAAUUUAACUGAGAUGUUGACAAUAUACUCAGGUAAGUUGUCUGGCUUGUAUCUUACUUGCUGGAAUAUUAGCAGUAAAUGUACAAGUACUAGGACUUUGCAGUCUGAGUUUAGCUAAUUCAGUUUCUACCUGUAACGCCUCUAUUGUGUAAGACACUGUCAGUUAUUUUCGGUAGUAAUUGACGAGCAAAUAUUUUUUGUUAUAUAGUUGAU